rnacentral:rRNA from 1 species
GACGAACGCUGGCGGCGUGCUUAACACAUGCAAGUCGAACGGAAAGGCCCUGCUUUUGUGGGGUGCUCGAGUGGCGAACGGGUGAGUAACACGUGAGUAACCUGCCCUUGACUUUGGGAUAACUUCAGGAAACUGGGGCUAAUACCGGAUAGGAGCUCCUGCUGCAUGGUGGGGGUUGGAAAGUUUCGGCGGUUGGGGAUGGACUCGCGGCUUAUCAGCUUGUUGGUGGGGUAGUGGCUUACCAAGGCUUUGACGGGUAGCCGGCCUGAGAGGGUGACCGGCCACCAUGGGACUGCGGUACGGGCCAGACUGCUACGGGGGGCAACAGUGGGGAAUAUUGCCCAAUGGGCCGGAGCCUGAUGCAGCAACGCCGCGUGCGGGAUGACGGCCUUCGGGUUGUGAACCGCUUUCGCCUGUGACGAAGCGUGAGUGACGGUAAUGGGUGAAGAAGCACCGGCUAACUACGUG